rnacentral:rRNA from 1 species
GGGGCGUGGGGGCGGCUAUAAUGCAGUCGAGCGAUGGAUUAAGAGCUUGCUCUUAUGAAGUUAGCGGCGGACGGGUGAGUAACACGUGGGUAACCGGCCCAUAAGACUGGGAUAACUCCGGGAAACCGGGGCUAAUACCGGAUAACAUUUUGAACCGCAUGGUUCGAAAUUGAAAGGCGGCUUCGGCUGUCACUUAUGGAUGGACCCGCGUCGCAUUAGCUAGUUGGUGAGGUAACGGCUCACCAAGGCAACGAUGCGUAGCCGACCUGAGAGGGUGAUCGGCCACACUGGGACUGAGACACGGCCCAGACUCCUACGGGAGGCAGCAGUAGGGAAUCUUCCGCAAUGGACGAAAGUCUGACGGAGCAACGCCGCGUGAGUGAUGAAGGCUUUCGGGUCGUAAAACUCUGUUGUUAGGGAAGAACAAGUGCUAGUUGAAUAAGCUGGCACCUUGACGGUACCUAACCAGAAAGCCACGGCUAACUACGUGCCAGCAGCCGCGGUAAUACGUAGGUGGCAAGCGUUAUCCGGAAUUAUUGGGCGUAAAGCGCGCGCAGGUGGUUUCUUAAGUCUGAUGUGAAAGCCCACGGCUCAACCGUGGAGGGUCAUUGGAAACUGGGAGACUUGAGUGCAAAAGAGGAAAGUGGAAUUCCAUGUGUAGCGGUGAAAUGCGUAGAGAUAUGGAGGAACACCAGUGGCGAAGGCGACUUUCUGGUCUGAACUGACACUGAGGCGCGAAAGCGUGGGAGCCAACAGAGGGGAGCAAACAGGAUUAGAUACCCUGGUAGUCCACGCCGUAAACGAUGACUGCUUAGUGGUUGAGGUUUCCGCCCUUUAUUGCUGAGCUUAACCCUUUAAUCACUCCCCCGGGGAAGUACGGCCCCAAGGCUGAAACUCAAAGGAAUUGACGGGGGCCCCCACAACCGGGGAACCAGGUGGUUAAAUUCAAACCACCCCGAAAAACCUUACCGGGCCUGAACUUCCCCUAAAAU